UUGGGGUUGCGGACAUAUCAUAACGAAGAGGUAUCGUAAUUGAAGAGGUUUGGAAAGACCCACCACAGAAGGUAAUAGUCCUGUAUGUUAAAAGAGAAGACUUUAGAUAUGAUCCAGAGUACCACGGGACACGUGAAACCCUGUGGGAAGCAGGAGGGACCACCCUCCAAGGCUAAAUACUACCUAGUGACCGAUAGCGUAUAGUACCGUGAGGGAAAGGUGAAAAGAACCCCGGGAGGGGAGGGAAAUAGAACCUGAAACCCUGCACUUACAAGCUGUGGAAGCACAUUUCUUGUGUGACCGCGUACUUUUUGUAGAACGGGCCAACGAGUUACGUUAAGUAGCAAGGUUAAGCACUUAAGGUGCGGAGCCGUAGCGAAAGCGAGUUUUAACUGAGCGUUCAGUUACUUGACGUAGACCCGAAACCGGGCGACCUACCCAUGAGCAGGAUGAAGCGAAAGUAAAAUUUCGUGGAGGUCCGAACCCACGAGCG
rnacentral:rRNA from 1 species